CAUUAUUGUCCUAGCAACCAUUAUACAAUUCUGCUGCAUGACAUUGCUGAGACACAUUCCAAGUUUAGAAAAAUAGGCACAGACCAGUUGCUCAGAGACAAAAGGCAAGCUGACACCUCAGCCAGGUGUUAACAAAAUCAAAUGACCUAUCACCUGGUUAAGUGACCCUUCUCUGGCAGAAAAAAGGAUGGGAGUGAGAAAUCUACAUUUUGGGAAAGAAACAGCUGGAGGUGCUUGUCCCCACAGAUUUCUGUUUCCUGAACCUCAGCUGUAGAUGAUUUUCAAAGAACAAUAGAACUACAAGAAAGAAGAAUUGAUGCUGCAAAAGAUCUUUCCCUUCAUCUCUACUCAUGGCAUCAACAAUCUUUGAAAAACAAAGGGAGUAUCUUUAGACUAGGCAGGGAUCCCGGUGGAAAGGAAUUCAGCCAGUAAAACUGCUACAAUAUGUGCAGGAAGAAGGGUACGAGUGAAGAGUUUACAUAUUGGCAAAGACACAGAAAGGGGUUUCCACAUAAACAGAUUGCAAGUCACCUGAAUCCCAGCUACAGCAGCUACACUGCUUGAAAGACAAAGGAAACCUCUUAGGUGAAGGCACCUGUCUGAGAGGCUUUUCAGUCGGUAGAGACGGU